AUUCAGACAAGACCAAAUUAACUAUUCAGGGGUGUGUUUCCCGUAAAACACUGGAAUUCGCUGAUUGACUAACGAAGUAUGAUGCAUCGUUGGAGAAAUUAACUAGCUAGUUUCAACUAGCUGUUUCCUAAAACAGUAGUAACAUGUUCGCACCUCUGUCAUUUGAACCAUGUUGGUUCAACAAUAUUGGACUGUUGUUAAUGACGUCAUGCGCAAGUAAUAACUUCUGCUAAAUAAUCGAUUCAAGAUCGCAACUUUUUAUAGUUAAUUUACACAAAAACAACUGAAAGGCAUUCAUUUUUAAAUCAAGUUUACAUGCAGUAUGUAAUUGGUGUACACUUUAUUCCUCUAGGAUAUGCAUGCGGUUCAUUCAGUCAGCAGUUUACUCCACUUUCUCAGAAAUACCGCCGUAACGAACAUGAGGACUAUUUUGACAAUUUUUGUUCCCUGUUUUGCUUUAUUUGAACCACAGGUCGAGGGCUGUCGUUCCAACCACACAAAUCUGCAUUGCUGUUUGCGAAUAUUCGUUGGAACUACAGUAUGGUUUCAGGAAACUCCGAAACAUUGAACUGUUGGAAACUAGCAGCCAUAGUUGGCUAACGAUGCUUUUGGGAAACACACUCCGGUUAUGAACCAGUUUGAACACAAAAGAACUGAUUCAGUUGAACAAUUCACAUGAAAUGGUAUUUAGGCAUAACUAGGAGAAAUUAUAUUCAUUGUUGCAAUAUCCAGAUUUUCAAAAAAAAAAUCUGUAUUGCCUGUUGAAAAACACAAUUUAGUCGACAACUAGUUAUUUUCUGACAGUAUCUCCAGAACGUAUCAUUGAUUGUUUUAUUUCUGGUAAACAUCACAUGGUAGACGAGACCUCAGGAGGAGCAGUCCGUCACAGGCUCAGUCUAAACACAUUUACUCAAAGUUAACUUAGAAAACUUACAAACACAUAUCUGUUUUAAAUUGAAAUCUUAAGAGGUUAAGAUUCAAAAUAGAGGCUAUUAUUCGAGGAGGUAAUGGAUAAAAAUAAAUAAUGCCUUUAAAUGCUGCCUACAGGCACAGCCCAUGAGGGUUUGGUAAAGCUUAUAUUUAUUUACAGUUAUCAUUUCGAGUUUGAUAGAUGAAAUGUUAUCGAACACGGAAUCUUUUCAAAACCGCAGAACUCUGAUAGUCGCUAUCUGUAUAUUCAAGUUUAUCCAAAAUAGCCUUCACAUGACAGGCGCACAGGAGAAACACACAGGCAGAAAGAAAAUCCAACUGACAGAACUUUGUGCUCUAACAUACAGAUACAUAUCUUUACCUUAUUACAUUUAUCUUGAGGUUAAUACACAUUUAUACAGAUUCUCGGUUUGUACAUUUAUCCUGUACAAUCACAGCUUAAGUUACUCUCAAUAUGAUGCAUCUUUUCUUUUCAUCAACAUUUACCCUUUAUGUGUCGUUACAGGGGACAAUUCAUAACUGGAUCAAAAUUAUAAAUAUUAAAUGUAUACUAUAGGGGUAGCACAGGGCACAAUAAGAGUCAGACAGCAAAAAGCAAAGAAGCAUAGGGUAUAAAUUAACAAGUAAAAGAAGGAAUGAAUUAAGGAGAAGAGACAGAAUGACUGAAAAAAUAAAUGAUGGGAUGAAAGAACAUCAUAGAGGAGUGAAAUCCAAGUGUUUAAGAUGAUAAAUACAGCUAUGUGACAUAUUAUAAUAACUGCAAAGGGAAACACCUCGACAAGUGUUCAUUUACAGCAGUUUAUCUGUGAUGUUGCUUGUAAAUGUUGCCACUAAAUCUAACUAUGUGGGCGGGAAACCUUAACUUUUGAGGGCCUAAACAUACUCUGCGUAAGUAUGUGAACGCUCCAUU